UUGCUUCUGAUUGAUAACAUUUGAGUGAGUGGCGACGGGUGAGUAACACGUGGGUAACCUGCCCUAAAUGGGGGGGUAACAUUUGGAAACAGAUGCUAAUACCGCUAAAACCUAACACCGCAUGGUGUAGGGUUGAAAGAAUGGUUUCGGCUAUCACUUUAGGAUGGACCCGCGGUGCAUUAGUUAGUUGGUGAGGUAAAGGCUCACCAAGACCGUGAUGCAUAGCCGACCUGAGAGGGUAAUCGGCCACACUGGGACUGAGACACGGCCCAGACUCC
rnacentral:rRNA from 1 species